UACGAAGGGGGCGAGCGUUGUUCGGAUUUACUGGGCGUAAAGGGCGCGUAGGCGGUUAGAUAAGUUGGAUGUGAAAUCCCUGGGCUUAACCUAGGAACUGCAUACAAUACUGUUUAACUGGAGUGCAGUAGAGGGUAGUGGAAUUUCCGGUGUAGCGGUGAAAUGCGUAGAUAUCGGAAGGAACACCAGUGGCGAAGGCGGCUACCUGGACUGACACUGACGCUGAGGCGCGAGAGCGUGGGGAGCAAACAGG
rnacentral:rRNA from 1 species